rnacentral:lncRNA from 1 species
CAGCACAAAGUGGGAAGUGACUUACUUUGCCCUGGGGAGGUCAGUUAAGCCUGGAACUGGGUUCCACACAUUACUACAACACUCUUUGUUGCUUUUUUUUUUUUUUUUUUUUUGAGAUGGAGUCUUGCCCCGUCAUCAAGGCUGGAGUGCAGUGGCUUGACCUUGGCUCACUGCAAUCUCUGCCUCAUGGGUUCAAUCGAUUCUCCCGCCUCAGCCUCUUGGGGACCGGCUUGCAAUGGAGCCAUGGCUUCUGCAGUCCCUUGCCGUUCAUCUGUGAGUAAGAAAUCCACUUCAUGGUGUUUGUUGAAUUUGACUGUGUUCUAUCUCACCAGGCUCAGACACGUUCAUAAACAGUGCCCAGUGACACUGCUUCACAAACCCCUUCUAGACCUUUCUCCAGUGAGCCUGGACCAUCCACAGAAACUCCGAGGGAACUAAAUGGAAUAUCACGGGAAGGCAUAGGGUCAGCGGAGGAGCUACCUUGGUCUGUUACUCACGUACUUAGUGAAGGCAGUCAGGUUUCCAGUUAAAUUCUCCAUAUCUGUAACCUAUGGUCACUGUGCUAAAAAUAAUGUGCCAUUUUUUAUUUGCAGGCAGUGGUAUUAUCGAGCUGAUUAGAUUAGGGAUUGGUGUUUACUAGCUAUAUUAAUGGAAAAAGUUAUGAUCAGACACAUUAUCUGCCAAACUAUCUUUGCUUUUGAUCUUUCCUGUUCCCACCAUGGUGUUUCGGUCACAUUGUCAGUGGAUGACACGUGGUUACUGUGGAAAUUGGAUUAAGUGACUCAGAAGUUCCUUUCCAGUGCUGUGAUGCUAUGUGACAUGGUGUUGAUUAUCUGCAAGUGGUCUAGUCUUAGGGCUCGAACGCAGACCGUCACCCAGCUCCAUUUACUUAUGUAUGUUCUAACAACACAGGAAAAAGGACCUCCAGAAGUGAAUGCCCCAGAACGAGUGUUUGACACUCCUGACUUUGCAGGUGGACAGAAAAACCACAUCUGUCCAGGCCCCAGCACAGGAGUAUGAUCCUGGCCACUUCUAAAAAUACUCAGGAUCAGAAAGAAAAAUCUUUACUUUGACUAGAAAGUGUUAUUAUAUAGGAGACUUUCAAGAUCUGUAGCAAAACACCUUCUAUGUGCCAUGCAUUUUGUAUUCAUUUUUGAACUCUCUGGUCCUACAUGUAGGUGUCAUUUGCUCAGUUUUACGAAUGAAGGAUGGAGGUUCAAGGUGUGGCUGCAAUGAGCCAGGACUGGAAAC